rnacentral:rRNA from 1 species
CCUACGGGAGGCAGCAGUGAGGAAUAUUGGUCAAUGGGCGGGAGCCUGAACCAGCCAAGUCGCGUGAGGGAAGACGGUCCUAUGGAUUGUAAACCUCUUUAGGCGGGGAGCAAUGCCGGGCACGCGUGCCCGGAGGGAGAGUACCCGCAGAAUAAACAUCGGCUAACUCCGUGCCAGCAGCCGCGGUAAUCCGGAGGUUGCGAGCGUUAUCCGGAUUUAUUGGGUUUAAGGGGUGCGUAGGCGGAUUUUUAAGUCAGCGGUAAAAUGUCCGGGCUCAACCCGGGCCGGCCGUUGAAACUGGGGGUCUUGAGUGGGCGAGAGGUAUGCGGAAUGCGUGGUGUAGCGGUGAAAUGCAUAGAUAUCACGCAGAACUCCGAUUGCGAAGGCAGCAUACCGGCGCCCGACUGACGCUGAGGCACGAAAGCGUGGGGAUCGAACAGGAUUAGAUACCCUAGUAGUC